UCCGCUCGCGAGCCACCAGCAACGUUGCCACAUCACUACCCGAGUCUCGAUCGGGCAAGUCGGGCAAGUCUUCGGCCACCGACGGACAGGGUUUUAUCAAGACGAAGUUCCAUUGCCUCGAAACACGAAGGGAUUGAAUCGUUGCAUGUUCCACGCGUUUCGUGAAACUGGAGCAGUAUUUUAGGCUAAAAAUUGGCGUCGAUUAAAAAGAACUGCAGCGUCUGGUGAACUAAAUUAUGCAAGAAAAAUAUACCGAUACCCUUCGACACGAUACAGCGGCGGUAAAAAUGUUGCCGCUUUAACCGCCAUUCUACGCGUAUUUUUCAAACAUCUCUUUACGGUCCAUUCGUGCUUGAAUCGUUGAAAGGGGUCGAAUUUGUGGAUACAGUUAUGCCGAUUCAAAUUAAACAUCUCAAGGCUGGGGUGUUUCCUGUUUAUCUAUUCACUUUUUUAUACCAUCCUUGUAACACAUUCUUUGUAAGACAAUUGUGAAAUAAAUAUUAGAUGAUUAUGA